rnacentral:lncRNA from 10 species
GCAGCUGUGGAGGCUGAAAACACUGCCAUGGGCUAAUCUCUCAGCACAGGCCUCCAGACUCUGCUUCUAGCUGCCUCCUCGUCCAGUGCCUCCACAGUCUGAACAGCCUUGUCUCCUUGUUUCCUCUCCAUUGCUGGAGAACACCACCGUCUGGACUGAAGGCCUUGCACGUUCUAUCCUCCACUGGACUCUCCUGAUCCCUCCUUUCUCUGUGUCACCCAAAGUCUCCCCACACCCACUGGGCCAAGC